UCUCUCUCUCUCCCUGAAUUUCCUGGGGUCACCCUGCUCAGCUCCUGCUGCCUCAUGCUCAUCCCCAGGGUCUUUAUCUCCUCCCGCUGCACUGCCCCACUUCCAGGAGUUCAUUUGGUGAUGUCUACUCCCCUGAUAAGGUGUGUGUGGCCCUGUGCCUGGCUUGAUAGUGUAGAGACUCGAGCGUGUGGAGUAUGUUGCUGCUGUCAACAUGGCCUCGUCAUCAUCUGUCCCCAGCUCACAGCACCCUCAGGAAGGGGACUCUCUUCUCUAAGUCUAUCUCUCGUCCGUCCUCUUUCUCUGCUUCUGCCUGGCGCUCCGCACACCUGACAAUUCUCAACCCGUCUUAAGUUCCUAGAAGAACACUCCAGGGGGAUAAAGCCCCUCCUCAGCACUGUGAGCGGAGCAGAUGGUGUGAGACAGCAUCCAGCUGGGCCCCGCCUGGGGAAAAAAGGGGCGCAAAAGCAACAAAGGAAAUUUUAUCAUGGGGAGAAGUCCUCUGAGGACAGGACGAAUAAACCACAAGUAGAGCUGCAUAUUGUAAUGUAACCCGGCCCUUAACAGAGUCUGAGUUGAUGGGGAAACAUCCAGUGAUCUUGGAGACCAUGCUGCCCUGCCUUCUGAGAGCUCUAUAAGCCAUCUCAGAGACAAGCCUCCACCUUCACAUCUGCUAAUAGAUGCUGCACAUGCUCAGUUCUGGAUCUUUCUGUGUCAAAGACUUCUGGGGUCCACCGGCUAACUCUUUUCUCUCUCCAACAUUACUAUUUUGUUUAGGAAAAUAAAAUAUU